GAGCAAGCCUUCUGAUUGGCCGACGGGGAGGCGGCCUUGCCAUUGACGUCGGAGCCUUCAGGCGCUGCACACCGCGGGAAAUGCAAGCGGAAAACCAAGCUGGCUGGAAAACACCAAGAUUGAGUGACAGGAAGUCACGGGGCCAAAAGAUGGACCAUGCAUUUCCUGUUGCAGCCGAAG